UACGUAGGGUGCAAGCGUUAAUCGGAAUUACUGGGCGUAAAGCGUGCGCAGGCGGUUUUGUAAGUUUGUCGUGAAAGCCCCGGGCUCAACCUGGGAAUUGCGAUGAAGACUGCAAGGCUUGAAUCUGGCAGAGGGGGGUAGAGUUCCACGUGUAGCAGUGAAAUGCGUAGAGAUGUGGAGGAACACCGAUGGCGAAGGCAGCCCCCCUGGGUCAAGAUUGACGCUCAUGCACGAAAGCGUGGGGAGCAAACAGG
rnacentral:rRNA from 1 species